CUGAAUAUGGGGGGCCCAUCCUCCAAGGCUAAAUACUCCUGACUGACCGAUAGUGAACCAGUACCGUGAGGGAAAGGCGAAAAGAACCCCGGCGAGGGGAGUGAAAAAGAACCUGAAACCGUGUACGUACAAGCAGUGGGAGCACGCUUAGGCGUGUGACUGCGUACCUUUUGUAUAAUGGGUCAGCGACUUAUAUUCUGUAGCAAGGUUAACCGAAUAGGGGAGCCGAAGGGAAACCGAGUCUUAACUGGGCGUUAAGUUGCAGGGUAUAGACCCGAAACCCGGUGAUCUAGCCAUGGGCAGGUUGAAGGUUGGGUAACACUAACUGGAGGACCGAACCGACUAAUGUUGAAAAAUUAGCGGAUGACUUGUGGCUGGGGGUGAAAGGCCAAUCAAACCGGGAGAUAGCUGGUUCUCCCCGAAAGCUAUUUAGGUAGCGCCUCGUGAAUUCAUCUCCGGGGGUAGAGCACUGUUUCGGCA
rnacentral:rRNA from 1 species